rnacentral:lncRNA from 1 species
GAUGGAACUUGGUGUCCCCCAGCUCCUUCCAACGCAGCCACCUUCCGUUUUAGCUCCAUCCCACGGAUCACGCCAGCCUCCUCUUCAUCAGCCCGCGUCUCCUUUCAUCCCGACGAUCCCGCGGUGACUUCCGCAUGCGUCCCCACCUUCCAUCCGCGUCGUGCCAGCCACCGUGCCAGCGAGCAGCCGCGUCCCUCCCGCGUCCGCUCCUCCCAGCAUCGCCCACGUGCGUCUCCUCCCAAUGAUUCCGCGAGUGAGCCCAAGCAU